rnacentral:rRNA from 1 species
CGGCGAGUGAAGCGGCAACAGCUCAAAUUUGAAAUCUGGCCUCGGCCCGAGUUGUAAUUUGCAGAGGAUGCUUUUGGUGCGGUGCCUUCCGAGUUCCCUGGAACGGGACGCCACAGAGGGUGAGAGCCCCGUAUGGUUGGACACCAAUCCUGUGUAAAGCUCCUUCGACGAGUCGAGUAGUUUGGGAAUGCUGCUCUAAAUGGGAGGUAAAUCUCUUCUAAAGCUAAAUACCGGCCAGAGACCGAUAGCGCACAAGUAGAGUGAUCGAAAGAUGAAAAGCACCUUGAAAAGGGGGUUAAACAGUACGUGAAAUUGUUGAAAGGGAAGCACUUGUGACCAGACUUGGGCCGGGCGGCUCAUCAGGGGUUCUCCCCUGUGCAUUCCGCCCGGUACAGGCCAGCAUCGGUUCUUACCGGGGGAUAAGAACGGCAGGAACGUGGCUCCCCCUCGGGGGAGUGUUAUAGCCUGCCGUACGAUACCCUGGCGGGGACCGAGGUUCGCGCUUCCGCAAGGAUGCUGGCGUAAUGGUUACUAGUGACCCGUCUUGAAACACGGACCAAGGAGUCGUCCAUUAGAGCGAGCGUUUGGGUGUCAAACCCCCACGCGUAAUGAAAGUGAAAUUAGGUGAGAGCUUCGGCGCAUCAUCGACCGAUCCUGAUGUUCUCGGAUGGAUUUGAGUAAGAGUUUUAACGGACGGACCCGAAAGACAGUGAACUAUGCUUGUAUAGGGUGAAGCCAGAGGAAACUCUGGUGGAGGCUCGCAGCGGUUCUGACGUGCAAAUCGAU